UCACAUCAUGUCAACAUACCGGUUCCAGUACGAUCACCGAAGUUAAGCAACGUCGUGCCUGCUCAGUACCAAAAUUGGUGACCGCUUGCAAAGACCAGGUGCUGUAAG